rnacentral:rRNA from 1 species
UACAGAGGUCCCAAGCGUUGUUCGGAUUCACUGGGCGUAAAGGGUGCGUAGGUGGUCGGGUAAGUCUGAUGUGAAAUCUCCGAGCUUAACUCGGAAAUGGCAUUGGAUACUAUUUGGCUAGAGGGUUGGAGGGGGGACUGGAAUACUUGGUGUAGCAGUGAAAUGCGUAGAUAUCAAGUGGAACACCAGUGGCGAAGGCGAGUCCCUGGACAACUCCUGACACUGAGGCACGAAAGCUAGGGGAGCAAACAGG